rnacentral:rRNA from 1 species
GACGAACGCUGGCGGCGUGCCUAAUACAUGCAAGUAGAACGCACAGUUUAUACCGUAGCUUGCUACACCAUAAACUGUGAGUUGCGAACGGGUGAGUAACGCGUAGGUAACCUGCCUGGGAGCGGGGGAUAACUAUUGGAAACGAUAGCUAAUACCGCAUAGUAUUGAUUAUUGCAUGAUAAUUGAUUGAAAGCUGCUAUUGCAUCACUACUAGCUGGUCCUGCGUUGUAUUAGCUAGUAGGUGAGGUAACGGCCCAACUAGGCGGCGAUACAUAGCCGAGCAGAAGGGGAGAUCCGACACCCCGGGACUGGAACAAGGGCCAGGAUCCUACGGGGGGGAACAGGAGGGGAUCUUCGGCAAUGGACGGAAGUCUGACCGCGCAACGCCGGGUGAGGGGAGGAGGUUUUCGGGUCGUAAAGGUCUGUUGUAUGGGAAGGACGGGUAUGAGAGUGAUACGUUCACACUGUGACGGUACCUAAACAGAAAGCACCGGCUAACUACGUG